UCCGUAGGCGGGCGAUUAAGUCAGAGGUGAAAUCCCACAGCUCAACUGUGGAACUGCCUUUGAUACUGGUUGUCUUGAGUUACAGUGAAGUAGAUAGAAUAUGUAGUGUAGCGGUGAAAUGCAUAGAUAUUACAUAGAAUACCGAUUGCGAAGGCAGUCUACUAACUGUUAACUGACGCUAAGGGACGAAAGCGUGGGGAGCGAACAGGAUUAGAUACCCGAGUAGUCC
rnacentral:rRNA from 1 species